UCCUCCGCCGCGGCCAGGGCUCGGCGGGCGCGGGGGGCUCGGGGCGUCCGGGCGGGUUUAUACCCCGAAGAGCGGGUGGUGUAUAAAGAGAGCGGUCCCAGGAGCGGCUCUGCCCCCGGGAUGGGGGCUGGCGGGAGGGGACAACAAGGGUCGUUAUCUGGGGUGAUGCUACCGGGGUGAUGCCAAACGUGUGCCCGCAAAAGCGAAGCGCAGGAGCCCUCCCUCUCCGAAGGACGAGCCACCGCGGGGCAGGGACGCUGGAAAGUAGCUGGAAAAUAAUUGUAAUAACUCAGCAAACUCCCAGCGUCCACUGCACUGCUGCGUUGUAGCCACAGGGACACGCGUGGAGAGGAGGCUCAGGAAGAGGCAGGAGCACAGGGCAGGAACCUGCCCUUGGGAAGCAGCCGGCAGUGCAGUGGGAAACAGUCGGUAACUCCACCCAGUCACUAGUUCUACUUGGUGGGCAUCAGGCAGCAUAACGUAGAGGGGAGAAGAGGACCAAGAAGAACAAGUAUGCACUUCCUGGUGGUGCAUGGGUGAGACCAGAGAUGCUCCUCACUCCAGAUCACUGCCCCUGAGCAAGCAGCUGAAGGUGCAGUGCAGCAACAGCCGAUCCAGGCAGUGCAUGGCGCUGUGAAUCCAGGUUAGCAGGUACAGCAACUACCAGCAAAGCAGAACAACCUCCAUUACCAGUGCGAGGAGGCAGCAGCAAGGGGCUGCCCCAGUGCAGGCAGAGGAGGCGGGAGCAGCGCCAAUGAGGAGACUCCCGUCAAAACCGACUUGCUGGGAGAGCAGCAGUGAUCCCACCCACUCCUCCACUGCCCCGCUUCAUCUGCUGCACCAACAUCUGAGACCCCAACAUGCACUGGAGCCUGCCCGGAACAGCGGCAAGAACACACCAGCACCAAGGCAAAGUGAAAAGCAGAGCACAGUUCCCAGGCAGGUCAGAAGAACUGAAUGGUGGCAUGCACCAGGGAACCCAGUUCACUCUAUAGCUGUCUUCACAUUCAAAUAUGCUACUAUUUAUUAUUAUUAAUAUGUUAAUUUUUCUUACAAAUAAUGUGUUGUUAUAACAAAA
rnacentral:lncRNA from 1 species